rnacentral:rRNA from 1 species
GCUUACGGCCAUACCACCCUGAACACGCCCGAUCUCGGAAGCAAGCAGGGUCGGGCCUGGUUAGUACUUGGAUGGGAGACCGCCUGGGAAUACCAGGUGCUGUAAGCU